rnacentral:rRNA from 1 species
AGAGCGAACGCUGGCGGCAGGCCUAACACAUGCAAGUCGAACGGACUCUUCGGAGUUAGUGGCGGACGGGUGAGUAACACGUGGGAACGUGCCUUUAGGUUCGGAAUAGCUCCUGGAAACGGGUGGUAAUACCGAAUGUGCCCUUCGGGGGAAAGAUUUAUCGCCUUUAGAGCGGCCCGCGUCUGAUUAGCUUGUUGGUGAGGUAAUGGCUCACCAAGGCUACGAUCAGUAGCUGGUCUGAGAGGAUGACCAGCCACAUUGGGACUGAGACACGGCCCAAACUCCUACGGGAGGCAGCAGUGGGGAAUCUUGCGCAAUGGGCGAAAGCCUGACGCAGCCAUGCCGCGUGUAUGAUGAAGGUCUUAGGAUUGUAAAAAUACUUUCACCGGUGAAGAUAAUGACUGUAGCCGGAGAAGAAGCCCCGGCUAACUUCGCGCCAAGCAGCCGC